rnacentral:lncRNA from 1 species
AGAAAGUGUGAAUAUGGGAGUGUGGCUCUGUGCGUGCGUGAUGAGUGCCAGAUAGAUUCGCGGAAGAAAUUGGGUGGCUGUGUGCUGGCGUGUGAUUGUGCGCGCCGGACAUGGCCAUGUGAGUUGGUUCAUUCUUGGUCCGGUGCCCCUUCUGUUGGGUAAAACUUGGAUCUGGCCCGAGAUGAAGUCUCGCCCUGUCUCCCAGACUGGAGUGCAGUGGUGCAAUCACAGUUCACUGCAACCUCUGUCUCCUGGAUUCAAGCGAUUCUCCUGCCUCAGCCUCCCGAGCAGCUGGAACUAUAGGCGCACACCACCAUGCCUGGCUAAUUUUUGUAUUUUUAGCAGAGAUGGGGUUUCACCAUGUCAGCCAGGCUGGUCUCGAACUCCUGACCUCAAGUGAUCUGCCUGCCUUGGCCUCCCAAAGUGCUGGGAUUAUAGUCAUGAGCCACUGCACCCGGCCCAUCCUCAAAUUUUGGUAUGAGGUGGUGUCCUGGAAUCAAUCCCCCAUGGAUACCAAAGGAUGACUGUACUGUAUUCCUAGCAUGAAUUCAGUAUCAAUCAGGUGAAUCGUGCUCCUUAACAGUCAGGUGAUGACAGAGUUGCAGGAACCAGGAUGGAUGCCAGGUGCUGGAAAAGAGGAGGAAAUCUCAGGAGGCUAGAGACAGCCCAGGCCUCUGCAGCACCCGGGGCUGCGGAAAGAACUGGGGGCUGGAGGGAGAGACAGAAGGUGAAGUUCCUUCCAGGGGAGGAAUGGGUGGGGGUAUCCACAGCCUGUGACUCAUCAGUGUCCCACCAGGACCAGGUCAAACCCCAGCAGAAUUCUCCAAGACAACCCGACUUUCUCUCAUUCCUGCCCUGAUCUCAAGUCCUCUUGCGGGGGGGUCAGGCCUGCCAUCAGAGGAGAAGGCUGCUGUGGCCAGUAAAACUGAGGGCCAGGCUGGACGUUUUCAAAGAGUAAGCGGGGAGGGCAAAGAGCUGAAGGGGCUCUCAGGACUGUCCAAGUAACAGACCAAGCCCCUCACAUAGGUUUUUUUCUCUAGUGACCCCAUUCUGCCCCAUGGAUGUCACUUGUUUUUUUCUUUUUCUUUUUUUUUUUUUUUUUUUUAGCUUUUGGGAAGGAGGAGCAAGGCGAGGGAGGUGGGAAGAGACUUUUUUUUUUUUUUUCACAUGAGCCCUCAGAAUUACAGUUCACAAACUAUUCAGUAAACUGACCGGCCUCAACCUCCCCUUCAACGGCCUAAUCUAAGGGGUGGAUCUAUGUGUUUUGUUGCUUGUCAGAAACAAUCGCUGCGCGGCCCAUUACAUUUACAGCACGUCGCCCUUUAAUUGGUGUAACACGCUGAGGCCUGAAAGGAGGAGAGGCCCACAAAGGCGCCCGUGAAUGAGCCUUGACUCACACAAAAACACUCUGCAGAAGUUCAGAGCUGGCCACUAACAAGGAGGUAGGGAGUUAGUUUGAAAAGAGGGUGAAGUUCAGAAAUGUGUCACCUUGAGGAGCCUCCCAUCAAAGCAAUGGUCGCAUUGACAAGCUGCAAAGAAAAAAAGUUAAACCUUCAGGGCUGCGGACUUGCCUGCUGGAUUUAUUCUUAAACUUGAGGAGGGGGGAAGGAGAGGGAGAGUCUUUCUUUUUCUUCUCCUCUUCUCCACCCUUGUCUCUCUGCGCCCCCCCCCACCCCUAUUUACUUCAGAGAGCCUUAAAGAAGUCCCAGCAAAGAAACAUACCUCCCACCCCCCUGCUAAGAUACACUUUUAAA